UAGUACAUAUACCUGUUUUCCAAUUCUCAGUAGCAUAGGAAACGGACUUUUCAUGGCCCAAGUUAUCCUCACGACUUGUCAGUUGAUUGGCUUUGGAACCUCUGAACCGUCCCUAGAUGGUAUUGACGCUUCACAACUGUGUGUAAAGGUUUUCAAUGGAAGGGUCAUGCAAAUAUCCCGUAGGGUAGUGAAGGAGGAAAAUUUCAUAAAUGAAGGGCAGUAAUUAUUUGUAAUCUGAAGAUCUCACAAAGCGGCUUAGUGAUAAACAUUAUCCCGAAACAGAUACAUGGAAAUCAGAUACGAGGGAAGAAAUGGAUUUGUCCAAGGUCACUUAAGUGAGGAAGAGACCUAGGAGAAACAAACAGACAAAAAUCCAGGCCUCCCGUUUCAUUAUUAUUUCAUGAAUGUUAAGUGUCCAUGGUUGCUGUGCAGAACACAUGCAAUCUCUAAUCCUAUCCUAAAAGCACAUAUGCAAUCAGCUUGGACCGAGCUGCCAGCAAAGAAUUUCCUAUAAUUCAAGCCAAGAUGAGUUAUUUUGCUUGUUUUUUGUUUUGUUUUCAGGAAACCGAAAUAUUUAUUGUUGGAUUUAUCCAGGAAGGCUGUUCUGCAUUAGUUAAAUGCAUCAUAUCUUCAAGAAAUGUUAAAUGACAUGGAUGCUUCCAGCCCUGAAGCAUCAGACUCCAGGUUCUUUGGCUUUUGGACUCUUGGAGUUACACCAGUGGUUUCCCAGGAACUCUCCAGCCUUGGGCCACAGACUGAAGUUUGCACUGUCGGCUUCCCUGCUUUUGAGGUUUUGUGACUCAGACUGAGCCAACUGGCUUCCUUGCUCUUCAGGUUGCGGACGGCCUAUCGUGGGACUUUGCCUUGUGAUUGUGUGAGUCAAUUGUCCUUAAUAAACUGCCUUUCAUAUAUACAUCUAUCCUAUUAGUUCUGUCCCUCUGGAGAACUCUGACUGCUGAUACACAUAGCAAGACCCCGUCUCUAAAAAAAAGAGAGAAAGGCACAUUGGAAAAUAGAGAAUAGAUCAAGAAAACAAUCCACUCAUAAUUCCAUUACCCUAUCACUACCACUAGUAGCAUUCCAAAAAGGUUUUCAUUAUUAAUUCAGGUUGGUGCUAUAGUGGGUACACAGGGUCAAGGGGAAGGUACCUGCAAAGUCUAAGUGAAGCAAAGACUAUCCUUUGAGAAUGAAAUUAGGAAAAAUUGUUGAGAUCAGCCCUCUAUAGCAAUGGCCCAAUCUAUGAAACUGAAAUAACUUUGCUGAGACAUUUCAGCUUUCUCAUCUGUAAAAUGGCAAUAAUACUUGAAUUCCCUCCUUUUCAGACUUGUUGUGAGAUUAAAAUAAAAUAAUAAAAAGCAACAAAUUAUAAAGUCAUUAGUAAAUGGAUGUAUCCUACUGUGUCAUGAUUAUCCAAUUUAUUUAAAUGACAUAGGCAAUCAAAUUUCAUAAUUCAGGAUUUAAAAAAUUGUACUUGGGGCCUCUCAAUUCCUUUCCUGUCUGAUUUGGUGAAAUAUAAUAGGUAGGUAGUUGGUAAAUAAGUCUUGUUUCUCACAGGUUGUAUAUAUCUAUCUGGUUGGAAAUAAAAUAAAGAUAUGGCAGACUAAUGCCUAUUUGCACGUG
rnacentral:lncRNA from 1 species